rnacentral:rRNA from 1 species
AAGAAGGGUUCGCUCGUAAGCUCUGUUGUUAAGAAGAACGUGGGUAGAGUACUGUUACCCAGUGACGGUAUUUACCAGAAAGCACGGCUAACUACGUGCAGCAGCGCGGUAAUACGUAGGUGGCAGCGUUAUCCGGAUUUAUUGGGCGUAAAGCGAGCGCAGGCGGUCUUUAAGUCUAAUGUGAAAGCCUUCGGCUCAACCGAAGAAGUGCAUUGGAAACUGGGAGACUUGAGUGCAGAAGAGGACAGUGGAACUCCAUGUGUAGCGGUGAAAUGCGUAGAUAUAUGGAAGAACACCAGUGGCGAAGGCGGCUGUCUGGUCUGCAACUGACGCUGAGGCUCGAAAGCAUGGGUAGCGAACAGGAUUAGAUACCCUGGUAGUCCAUGCCGUAAACGAUGAUUACUAAGUGUUGGAGGGUUUCCGCCCUUCAGUGCUGCAGCUAACGCAUUAAGUAAUCCGCCUGGGGAGUACGACCGCAAGGUUGAAACUCAAAAGAAUUGACGGGGGCCCGCACAAGCGGUGGAGCAUGUGGUUUAAUUCGAAGCUACGCGAAGAACCUUACCAGGUCUUGACAUCUUCUGACAGUCUAAGAGAUUAGAGGUUCCCUUCGGGGACAGAAUGACAGGUGGUGCAUGGUUGUCGUCAGCUCGUGUCGUGAGAUGUUGGGUUAAGUCCCGCAACGAGCGCAACCCUUAUUACUAGUUGCCAGCAUUAAGUUGGGCACUCUAGUGAGACUGCCGGUGACAAACCGGAGGAAGGUGGGGACGACGUCAAAUCAUCAUGCCCCUUAUGACCUGGGCUACACACGUGCUACAAUGGAUGGUACAACGAGUCGCGAGACCGCGAGGUUAAGCUAAUCUCUUAAAACCAUUCUCAGUUCGGACUGUAGGCUGCAACUCGCCUACACGAAGUCGGAAUCGCUAGUAAUCGCGGAUCAGCAUGCCGCGGUGAAUACGUUCCCGGGCCUUGUACACACCGCCCGUCACACCAUGAGAGUUUGUAACACCCAAAGCCGGUGGGGUAACCUUUUAGGAGCUAGCCGUCUAAGGUGGGACAGAUGAUUAGGGUGAAGUC